rnacentral:rRNA from 1 species
GACGAACGCCGGCGGCGUGCCUAAUACAUGCAAGUCGAACGCUUCUUUCCUCCCGAGUGCUUGCACUCAAUUGGAAAGAGGAGUGGCGGACGGGUGAGUAACACGUGGGUAACCUACCCAUCAGAGGGGGAUAACACUUGGAAACAGGUGCUAAUACCGCAUAACAGUUUAUGUCGCAUGGCAUAAGAGUGAAAGGCGCUUUCGGGUGUCGCUGAUGGAUGGACCCGCGGUGCAUUAGCUAGUUGGUGAGGUAACGGCUCACCAAGGCCACGAUGCAUAGCCGACCUGAGAGGGUGAUCGGCCACACUGGGACUGAGACACGGCCCAGACUCCUACGGGAGGCAGCAGUAGGGAAUCUUCGGCAAUGGACGAAAGUCUGACCGAGCAACGCCGCGUGAGUGAAGAAGGUUUUCGGAUCGUAAAACUCUGUUGUUAGAGAAGAACAAGGACGUUAGUAACUGAACGUCCCCUGACGGUAUCUAACCAGAAAGCCACGGCUAACUACGUGCCAGCAGCCGCGGUAAUACGUAGGUGGCAAGCGUUGUCCGGAUUUAUUGGGCGUAAAGCGAGCGCAGGCGGUUUCUUAAGUCUGAUGUGAAAGCCCCCGGCUCAACCGGGGAGGGUCAUUGGAAACUGGGAGACUUGAGUGCAGAAGAGGAGAGUGGAAUUCCAUGUGUAGCGGUGAAAUGCGUAGAUAUAUGGAGGAACACCAGUGGCGAAGGCGGCUCUCUGGUCUGUAACUGACG